rnacentral:sRNA from 1 species
AAACUCCACACACAGCGGCACCCACCUCCGAGUUUUGGUGGGUUUUUUGUGUCCGGCCAAAAGGCUUGGCACGGCUCGGCGUUCUCGCGCCGGGAGGGCGGCGAAUACAACACCCGCAAGGGGAAUAAGCCCGCCGGCUGUGUGCGGUUUCUAGCCUCCCGGCAUCCCGCUGCGUUGUGCAGCGGGAG